GGCAAGAUGGCCGAGUUGGUCCAUGGCGUUAGGUUCAGGUCAAGUCAAUCACGUGAUCUCCGCAUCCUAAUCUCCGCAAGGGGGCGUGGGUUCGAAUCCCACUCUUGUCA